rnacentral:rRNA from 1 species
AUUGAACGCUGGCGGCAGGCCUAACACAUGCAAGUCGAGCGGAUGCCGGGAGCUUGCUCCUUGAUUCAGCGGCGGACGGGUGCGUAAUGCCUAGGAAUCUGCCUGGUAGUGGGGUACACAGUUUAGAACGGAACGCUACUACCGCGUACGUCCUACGGGAGAAAGCAGGGGACCUUCGGGCCUUGCCCUAUCAGAUGAGCCGAGGUGGAAUGAGCUAGUUGGUGGGGUAAUGGCUCACCAAGGUGACGAUCCGUCACUGGUCUGAGAGGAUGAUCAGUCACACUGGAACGGAGACACGGUCCAGACUCCUACGGGAGGCAGCAGUGGGGAAUAUUGGACAAUGGGCGAAAGCCUGAUCCAGCCAUGCCGCGUGUGUGAAGAAGGUCUUCGGAUUGUAAAGCACUUUAAGUUGGGAGGAAGGGCAGUAAGUUAAUACCUUGCUGUUUUGACGUUACCGACAGAAUAAGCACCGGCUAACUCUGUGCCAGCAGCCGCAGUAA